rnacentral:lncRNA from 1 species
UCCGGAAGAAAAAUAUAAGUAAAUUCUCGGGGUUUUAAAAUUUUUUCUAUUAAUAUACAGAGUCUGAAAAAAAUGUAUACAAACUUCAGGAAAAGAAAACUAGUCUGAUUUUUUUUUUCAACAGAUGGUGUUACCCUGGAAUGGGGGACUCUAGAGGAUAUGUCAUAUAUCGCAGAAAACCCAACACAGGUGAUCCUUAGAGAAGAAAUUGAAAAUGCAUGUGCAGCAGUCUCAGUGACUGAGGUGACCCAAGAAGGAGUUUGCCAUCUAAUAAAUAUCUGGAAGUUAAUGGGUACCACUUUGAGCACCUCUUGUCAUUGGAGAACGCAAAGUGCCCCAGAUGCCUCGCUGCCAGGCUACAUCAGACAACUGCUUGGGGAGACAUUUGCUGGUGUACAGCGAAUGUGUCAUAGGUCCAUCCCAGAUGACUGCUCCACAGAGGUACAAGAGGUCCAAUCGGGUCCAUGAGGGGCCCCACCCCUGCCCAGGAUUAAGCAGAAAGUCUGACACUGUGCAUAUGUGAACCCACUUGUUCUUUUAUAUAAGCAUCUUCCCCCCACAUCUUAGCGGAUCAUCUGUGCACUGUUUCCCUUUAUGUUGCAGCAUAAGUCCUAACACAGCCUCUUUUGAGUGACAUAUUUUUGCCUGUCUGUGAUUUCUAUUUUGAGUAGAGCACGCUGAGCUGCUACACUAAGCACUGGUUACACCAACGGUUACUAGGGCCAAAAGCAGCCAGCAUCUGGAGCUGGUAACACUGAGGGAAGCCAGGACCAACAACGGAGAGUUGUCAGGAGCUGCCAUCUCGGUGGGCCCAAGAGAUCCCAAGGGCUGCUGUCGGCUGGCGGGAGUGGUGGAGGGUCAUCAGCACUAAGACCUGACAGCUGCUGGCAUCCAGAGCUCAGGGCUGUUUACACUAAAAGAGCCACACUUUGCCUAUUUGUGAUUUCCAUCCAAAUCCAGCAAAAGAAUCCUCAGCCAGUAGGUGACACCGACCAUUGUCACUACAGUCCUUGACAUAUCUGUGCUCGAUUUCUCAGUUCUGGUUCUUGGUAGGGAAAAGGUGCUCAAAUUCACCUCUGGGGUUUGGAUAGAGUUCCUAGUGGAGAUGUGAAGCUGAAGUUCGCCUGUGUAUAGAGCUCCAUGAUUUGGUUGCUUCUACGCUGGAAUGGAUAGUAGGUCUUGGGGCACAGGCUUGCACUUUCCAAUCCCGUCCAGUGCUGCCACAUGGAGAAGAUGAUGGUGAGACAUGAAGAUCACCCUUCCACUCGCCUCCUUUUCCUCUCCCAGAUGGUCCAGCAGAAAUAAUAAAGAAUCUGGAGAGGAGAAAGGGAAACCACAGCUUUACUUGUUAAAGGCCCUUGUCUAGCACGCUCUAGAGAAGCCGUUUCUCCGAACAACAUCGCCACCUGCUGGACACAUCUACCAGGUACACCCUGCCUGCUGCUACUGAAGACUGCAGCUCUUACUCUGGUACCUCCAUUUUGGAGAAGUCAAGUGGAACCUGAUAAUUAGAAAGAUGAGAAGAGAUUAAGAAUCCUUGCAAACCAAAUAGA